rnacentral:rRNA from 1 species
GACGAACGCUGGCGGCGUGCUUAACACAUGCAAGUCGAACGGAAAGGCCCUGCUUUUGUGGGGUGCUCGAGUGGCGAACGGGUGAGUAACACGUGAGUAACCUGCCCUUGACUUUGGGAUAACUUCAGGAAACUGGGGCUAAUACCGGAUAGGAGCUCCUGCUGCAUGGUGUGGGUUGGAAAGUUUCGGCGGUUGGGGAUGGACUCGCGGCUUAUCAGCUUGUUGGUGGGGUAGUGUCUUACCAAGGCUUUGACGGGUAGCCGGGCUGAGAGGGUGACCGGCCACAUGGGGACUGAGAUACGGCCCAGACGACGACGGGGGGCAGGAGUGGGGAAUAUUGCACAAUGGGCGGAAGCCUGAGGCAGCAACGCCGGGUGGGGGAUGACGGCAUUCGGGUGGUAAACCGCUUUCGCCUGUGACGAAGCGUGAGUGACGGUAAUGGGUAAAGAAGCACGGGCUAAUUACGU